rnacentral:sRNA from 1 species
AGCAGCCGCGGUAAUUCCAGCUCCAAUAGCGUAUAUUAAAGUUGUUGCAGUUAAAAAGCUCGUAGUUGAAUUUCGGGAUUGACACAUCGGUCGUGCCUUAAGGGGUAUGAACUGGUGUAGUCAAUUUCUCACCUUCUGGAGAACCGCGCUGUCCUUAAUUGGGUGACGCGGGGAACCAGGACCUUUACUUUGAAAAAAUUAGAGUGUUUAAAGCAGGCAUUUUGCUUGAAUACAUUAGCAUGGAAUAAUAAAAUAGGACGGCAUGAUUCUAUUUUGUUGGUUUCUAGGAUCACCGUAAUGAUUAAUAGGGAUAGUUGGGGGCAUUAGUAUUCAAUUGUCAGAGGUGAAAUUCUUGGAUUCAUUGAAGACUAACUACUGCGAAAGCAUUUGCCAAGGAUGUUUUCAUUAAUCAAGAACGAAAGUUAGGGGAUCGAAGACGAUCAGAUACCGUCGUAGUCUUAACCAUAAACUAUGCCGACUAGGAAUCAGACGAUGUAAUUUUUUAAUGACUCGU